AAAACAUCGCCUCCUGCAACAUAACCAAGUAUAGGAGGUCCAGCCUGCCCAGUGACCACAAGUUCAACGGCCGCGGUAUUUUGACCGUGCAAAGGUAGCGCAAUCACUUGUCUUUUAAAUAGAGACCUGUAUGAAUGGCUAAACGAGGGCUUAACUGUCUCCCCUUUCAAGUCAGUGAAAUUGAUCUACCCGUGCAGAAGCGGGUAUAAUAAUACAAGACGAGAAGACCCUUUGGAGCUUAAGGUACAAAACUCAACCACGUCAAGCAACUUAAUAAAAAGCAAAAACCUUGUGGAAUAUGAUAUUUUACCUUCGGUUGGGGCGACCACGGAGGAAAGAAAAGCCUCCAAGUGGACUGGGAAAACUUCCUAAAGCCAAGAGAAACAUCUCUAAGCCGCAGAACAUCUGACCAAAUAUGAUCCGGCAACAAAGCCGAUCAACGAACCAAGUUACCCUAGGGAUAACAGCGCAAUCCUCUCCCAGAGUCCAUAUCGACGAGGGGGUUUACGACCUCGAUGUUGGAUCAGGACAUCCUAAUGGUGCAGCCGCUAUUAAGGGUUCGUUUGUUCAACGAUUAAAGUCCUACGUGAUCU
rnacentral:rRNA from 1 species